GGGUUGUGAGGUUAAGCGAAUAAGCGUACACGGUGGAUGCCUAGGCAGUCAGAGGCGAUGAAGGACGUGCUAAUCUGCGAUAAGCGCCGGUAAGGUGAUAUGAACCGUUAUAACCGGCGAUUUCCGAAUGGGGAAACCCAGUGUGAUCCGUCACACUAUCAUUACCUGAAUACAUAGGGUAAUGAAGCGAACCGGGAGAACUGAAACAUCUAAGUACCCCGAGGAAAAGAAAUCAAACGAGAUUCCCCCAGUAGCGGCGAGCGAACGGGGAGCAGCCCAGGACCUUAAUCAGCAUCAGUGUUAAGAGAACAGUCUGGAAAGGCUGGCCACAGCAGGUGAUAGCCCUGUAUCUGAAAGCACUGGUGUUGUGAGUCCGAUGAGUAAGGCGGGACACGUGUUAUCCUGUCUGAAUACGGGGGGACCAUCCUCCAAGGCUAAAUACUCCUGACUGACCGAUAGUGAACCAGUACCGUGAGGGAAAGGCGAAAAGAACCCCGGCGAGGGGAGUGAAAAAGAACCUGAAACCGUGUACGUACAAGCAGUGGGAGCACCCUUCGG
rnacentral:rRNA from 1 species